GAUGAACGCUGGCGGCGUGCUUAACACAUGCAAGUCGAACGGUGAACACGGAGCUUGCUCUGUGGGAUCAGUGGCGAACGGGUGAGUAACACGUGAGCAACCUGCCCCUGACUCUGGGAUAAGCGCUGGAAACGGCGUCUAAUACUGGAUAUGUGACGUGACCGCAUGGUCUGCGUUUGGAAAGAUUUUUCGGUUGGGGAUGGGCUCGCGGCCUAUCAGCUUGUUGGUGAGGUAAUGGCUCACCAAGGCGUCGACGGGUAGCCGGCCUGAGAGGGUGACCGGCCACACUGGGACUGAGACACGGCCCAGACUCCUACGGGAGGCAGCAGUGGGGAAUAUUGAACAAUGGGCGCAAGCCUGAUGCAGCAACGCCGCGUGAGGGAUGACGGCCUUCGGGUUGUAAACCUCUUUUAGCAGGGAAGAAGCGAAAGUGACGGUACCUGCAGAAAAAGCGCCGGCUAACUACGUG
rnacentral:rRNA from 1 species